rnacentral:rRNA from 1 species
CUACGGGCUGCAGCAGUCGAGGAUAUUUAGCAAUGCCCGAAAGGGUGACUAUGCGACGCCGCGUGCGCGAUGAAGGUCUUCGGAUUGUAAACCGCUGUCAGUGGGGAGGAAAUGCAUCAGGGUUCUCCCUGGUGUUUGACCGAUCCGCAGAGGAAGCGCAGGCUAAGUUCGUGCCAGCAGCCGCGGUAACACGAACUGCGCGAACGUUAUUCGGAAUCACUGGGCUUAAAGAGUUCGUAGGCGGCCUUUCAAGUCGGGUGUGAAAUCCCUCGGCUCAACCGAGGAAUUGCGCCUGAUACUGUUGGGCUUGAGGGGGAUAGGGGUGAGCGGAACUGAUGGUGGAGCGGUGAAAUGCGUUGAUAUCAUCAGGAACACCGGUGGCGAAGGCGGCUCACUGGAUCUCUUCUGACGCUGAGGAACGAAAGCUAGGCGAGCGAACGGGAUUAGAUACCCGAGUAGUC